rnacentral:lncRNA from 1 species
CAAAUAUACUAAAAAAUAUAAAUCUAUUUAACAAACUGAGAAAAGAGUAUGUCUUGUGAAAAGCAUGCCUUUAUAUUGACAAAAUUUAUACGUACAUGUAAAGUUAUGGCUUUUAUACUACUGAAGUCAAGAAAAUAGUAAAAGCAAUUAAAUUAUCUUAUUGUGCAUGUCUGAGUAUUAUAAUAUAGUUUAUUAUGUUGACUAAGAAAAUGAAGGAUGUAAAACAUAUAGCUUAUUAUAUAUUUAUUCUAUAAUAUUCAUCUUAGCCAAAUCAGUUAUUUUAAUCAAGAUUUUUCACAUAAUUUAUAUUCUAGUGACUGUGGUGAUCAAGAAUUAAAAAUAUUAAAAGUGUAGGAGUUCCUGUCCUGGCUCAGUGGUGAACGAACCUGACUGGCAUCCAGAAGGACAUGGGUUCAAUCCCUGGCCUUGUUCAGUGGAUUAAGGAUCUGGCGUUGCUGUGAGCUGUGGUGCAGGUCGAAGACAGGGCUCAGAUCCCGCAUUGCUGUGGCUCUGACAUAUGCUGGGGGCCACAGCAUCGAUUUGAUGUCUAACCUGGGACCCUCCAUAUGCCGCAGGUGCAGCCCUAAAAGAUUAAAAAAAAAAAAUUAAAAGUGUAAAAAUUAAUUUUGGAAUAUUUUCAUCAAAGAUGUAAAGUAAAUGUUAAAAAAAAAAGGAAUAUGAAAAUCAUUUUUAUAUAUCUUUUCAAAAGAGGCUUUCCUCCCCAAAUAUCAAGGUUAUCUAUAAAAUGAAAAGGCAGAAGCUAAAUUAUAAUAACUAUCAAAAUAUUAAAUAAGAUAUUUUAAAAUAAAGCCUUCACCCUCAUGGGACAGUUUUGCCACCUGGUACUGGAGGAUGAGAAGCCUCUAGGAAAAAAAGCGAAUCACAGUGCAAAAGCCCCAGUCCAUUGUCAGGCACAGAGAGGGAGGUUCAGGUAACUCAGGUGAGCUCAGGUGCGCCACCAGCUGCAUGAAGCUUCCCAAGAGAGCACCCAGGCAAGAUGAGAAAAAGAACCAACUCACCAAUACACAGAAGCAUAGGAAAUAAUUAUUAGAAAUUGGAGACAAUGUUAUUCUCACUUACAACCACAGAAGAAAGAAUAAAUGACUUGCCCAGUGUAAUACUGUCUCUUGGUGCAGGAACCAUGAUUUAAAACAAACACGCCAUACUUAUUUCUCCUUUGUGCUCUUUCUUAGGAAGUGGCAGAGAAUCUUCAGGGAAACUGUAACUGGAUCUAGAUUAUGGCUUCGGCCCAUAGAUUUUAUCUGUUAGGUAAAAUUUAGAAUUUAGAAUUUUAGAUUCUCCUGAUCCUUGUGGAGGAACAAAGCAUUAGAUGAAGAUUUUUUAUUUGGCACUGAGUUAAUGCAGGAGUGAAGGUAUAUCAAAUGAACUAAAAGAAAUAGGGUGACAUGCAAUUUUGUUUAGCAAAACCCUUACUAACAUAAAUUCUAUUUCACUUUCUAACUGCACCCAUAUAAUCCUGAUCCCAAAUUAGCCUUCAUUAUAUUCAGUGAAACCACGUGCAUUUGGUUUUCUAAAACAUAUUAUCUGAGGCAUCAUUAAUGAAGCGUAUCAAAUUAACAGAUAUUUGUUGAGCUCAUGCUGUGCGGAAGGCUCUGUGUUGGAUGUGGUAUCACAUGUUCCAUCCUGAAGAGCCAGUGUGGGUGGCCUCCUGUAGCCGGCUCAGAUUUCUGGAAUGAUGUGGGUAUUUUUCUUUGAUGGUAAUAACGGAUGAAUGAGGAUGCUCGAUUCCUUUUGCACACUUGAGGCUAUAUGAACUAUUGGUCAUUUGUAUAUCAAAGAAAUGAUUCCUGCUGUACAUCUUCUGCCCAGCAAUGUGUUAAUAGCUUCAUCUAUCCAUUUCAAAUAGAAGGGAAGCUAUUUUUUAUUUUAUACUCUUGAGUUGUUUGACUAUUUCUUUGUCCAAAUGUUAUUUUUAUUUACACGUGCUAAUUUUUAAAAGUACAUGUGCUCAGAAGCUAAUAUUUGACAACAUGUGUAUAUCUUUUUAUUAUUUUUAUUUUUUCUCAUUUAUACUUAUUUUUUGAAAGAUUCUUUAAAUUCUACAGUGUUUUACAAUUUUUAAGUUUCACACACAAUUUUGUAUAAUCCCUUAAUAACAUUUUUUAUCCCUUACCCCUAUAUAUUUUUGGGUUGUUCAGUGAGCGUUUAUUUAUGUUAUUUAAAAUGCUUUCAUUUUUGCACAGUUUGCUCAGGACCCCACGACAAAAUACCAUAGACUGGAAGGCUUAAACAACAGAAGUUUAUUUUCUCACAGUUCUGGAGGUAGGAAGUUCACGCUCAGGGUGUUGGCGGUUGUGGUUUCUCCUGAGUCCUCUCUCCUUGGCCUGCAGACGGCCACCUGCUUGCUGUGUCCACACAUGGCCUUUUCACUGUGCAUUCACAUCGCUGGUAUCUCUGCCUCUGUUUAGGGACACUGGUCAGACUGGACUAGGCCCCACCCAUAUGAUCUCAUGUAACCUUAAUUACCCUUGAAAUGUCCUGUCUUUCCAUACAGACACAUUCUAAAGCACUAGGAGUUAAGGCUUUCAUAUAUGCAUUUAAGGAAGCACAAUUCAGCCCGUAACAAUUUUCAUUAUCUUAUUUAUAUUAACAGAAUAUAUAAAUUCCUUUAUGCUAUUAUUAAACGACACUGUGUUUUCCUCUUUACAUUAUUUUAAAGGUCUACAUUUUACAUACCUCUUUGAUUGUAACAAUAAUUAUUAUUUAACAUUUAUUUGGUACUUAGUAUCUGUCAGGCAUGCUGCUAAUUAUUUGAAUUAUAUAGCAUGUAAGCUGUAUGCAACCGUAAGAGCUAGAUACUACUAUUAUUUCUAUUGUGGUGGUGAGAAAACAGAGGUUUAGGAUGUUCACAGACUUGUAAAAGUUCAUGACUGAUAAAUGGAAAAGACUAGAGGCCCUUUGUCUGCAAAACAACUUUGUGAAAUCUGUAUUGCAGGUACUAUGUAAUUUGUUGGGGGUGGGGUAGUGGCUAGUUCCCUUAGCAGAUUUUGAAUUCCUACCUGGUAGCUCCAUUUAUUCUUUUUGAUUCAACCUAACCUUCCAAAGCUAUGUCUCAGUAAACAUUCUGCUGAACUUGAAUGCAAGGGUGCUUCCUACAUUUUUUGAAUCAAACCAAAUCAAGAGAUGAAACAGUUUGCCUAAGGCUACCCAGUUAAUUGGUGACAGAUUAAAAAACUAGAACUUUAUUACAUUUCUGGUCCAGUUAUUGUACUUUUACACCAAAUUGCUCCCUUUAAGAGUGACAUGACCUGCUAAAGUUUGUAGGAAAGAGAGAGAAACACACACCACAUAUUCAUUUGAGAAUGCUUGUUCUCUCCAAAAGAGAACCCCAACACAGAGCUUUUCUCCUCUGGCAAUCAGAUAUUGAUCUAAUAACUCAGAGCCGACUUUAGAUGAAGGAAUUCAGUGCUAUUUUCAGAACAGCCACAACGCCAUUUUUAAAUUUAU